AACAGUGUACUGUGUAGUGAGUCAUCAGAGUACUGUGUACAACUGAAUCAUCAGAAUACUGUGUAUAGUGAUUGGUCAGAGUACUGUGUACAACUGAGUCAUCAGUGUACAGUGAGUCAUCCGUGUACUGUGAGUCAUCAGAAUACUGUGUACAACUGAGUCAUCAGAGUACUGUGUACAGUGAGUCAUCAGAGUACUGUGUACAGUGAGUCAUCAGAGUAAUGUGUACAGUGAGUCAUCAGAGUACUGUGUACAGUGAGUCAUCAGAGUACUGUGUAUAGUGAGUCAUCGGUGUACUGUGAGUCAUCAGAGUACACACAGUGAGUUAACAGUGUACUGUGUACAUUGAGUCAUCAGAGUACUGUGUACACUGAUUGGACAUACUAUGGUACACAGUGAUUAAACAGAGUACUCUAGUUAUUGGACAGGGUACUGUGUGCAGUAAUUGGACAGGGUACUGUGUGCAGUAAUUGGACAGGGUACUGUGUGCAGUAAUUGGACAGGGUGCUGUGUGCAGUAAUUGGACAGAGUACUGUAUGCAGUCAUUUGACAGGUUACUGUGAACAGUCAUUUGACAGGGUACUAUGUACAGUCAUUGGGCAGAAUACUAUGUACAGUCAUUGGACAGGUUACUAUGUACAGUCAUUGGGCAGAAUACUAUGUACAGUCAUUUGACAGGGUACUAUGUACAGUCAUUGGACAGGUUACUGUGAACAGACAUUUGACAGGGUACUAUGUACAUUCAUUGGACAGGUUACUAUGUACAGUCUUUUGACAGGGAACUAUGUACAGUCAUUUGACAGGGUGCUAUGUACGGUCAUUUGACAGGGUACUAUGUACAGUCAUUGGACAGGUUACUAUGUACAGUCAGUGGGCAGAAUACUAUGUACAGUCAUUUGACAGGGUACUAUGUACAGUCAUUGGACAGGUUACUAUGUACAGUCAGUGGGCAGGUUACUGUGUAGAGUCAGUGGACAGGGUACUAUGUACAGUCAUUGGACAGGUUACUAUGUACAGUCAUUGGACAGGUUACUAUGUACAGUCAUUGGACAGGUUACUAUGUACAGUCAUUUGACAGGUUACUGUGUACAGUCAUUGGACAGGUUACUAUGUACAGUCAUUGGACAGGUUACUAUGUACAGUCAUUUGACAGGGAACUAUGUACAGUCAUUGGACAGGUUACUAUGUACAGUCAUUGGACAGGUUACUAUGUACAGUCAUUUGACAGGGAACUAUGUACAGUUAUUUGACAGGGUGCUAUGUACAGUCAUUUGACAUGGUACUGUGUAGUCAGUGGGCAGGUUACUGUGUACAGUCAGUGGACAGGGUACUAUGUACAGUCAUUGGACAGGUUACUAUGUACAGUCAUUGGACAGGUUACUAUGUACAGUCAUUGGACAGGUUACUAUGUACAGUCAUUGGACAGGUUACUAUGUACAGUCCGUGGACAGGGUACUAUGUACAGUCAUUGGACAGGUUACUAUGUACAGUCAUUGGACAGGUUACUAUGUACAGUCAUUGGACAGAGUAAUGAUUAGACAAAGUGCUAGUGUCAACACUUUGAGAGAUGGCAGUACAAACUGUUCAAUAGAAGAUUGUUUUGUUUGUUGUCCUUAUAAGUACUUUUUUUGCUAAAACGACAUUCAGUGCUAGCUCAUUGACUCAAAUUAUCAUUUAAGUACAAGUGAUACACUAUCCCUACAGUAUUGAGAACAAAAUACUGAAUUAAUAGUAUCCCUACAGUAUUGAGAACAAAAUACUGAAUUAAUAGUUGUGUUACUGUUAAGAUAUUUCUUCAAUAAUAUUCUGCAAGUACGUAUACUUAUUCAUUCAUUUGAUCAUGACACAUAUGAUAGCAUCAGGAUCAAAGGUAUCUGCUAUUGUUUAGACUUAAUAUUGUCUCGGGGAGAGGAGGGGCGUAUUAUAAUGUUAGGAUUGAAGCACAGUUAUCCUGAAUGCUUGGAUAUAUACAUGUUACUUUUUACUUUUUUUCCCCUGACCCUUGUUUGUAUAUGUAUAGGAUUGGAUGUACUCCUGUUAUUUUAGGGAUUCUAUUAAUAGAUGUAUAUUGUGUUCAAUUUGCGAUACAACGAUCAUAAUAAGGUUUAAAACUAGAAAAUUUCAACUAUCUGUAAUCAGUAUUUAAAUUUUCUGGUUAUUAAACAGAAGUGGAUAAAGGAAAUGGAGGUUGAUCAUGUUUUUCAUCAUGUUCAUCAAAGUCAAGACCAAAGUUGCAUCUCUCCCAUCUAGUUUGAAAAGUAUGAUAGAUAAUUUUAUGAGUAAUGAAGAAGUCCUGUCAUCAAUGUUACUUUAUUGAGAUUCAUUUAUUUGAUAGUGUGCGUUGUACAGUUUAUGAUGUGUUUGUGAGUAUAUUAGGUAGAAUUCAUCAAAAUAUCAUAAUGUGCAUGUUCUGUUGUAAAAGAUUUUUAUACUGUCUUUGAUAUUCUAUUGAAUAUUUUGAAUGAAUGGAAGUUUGAGAGUUCGUGAGACAUGAGUAAACCCAAUACAAGAUAUACUAUAGCUAGUGUACUGUAUGUGGUGAAAUAAAACUGAAACACAAAUAUA